UGCCAGACUCCUACGGGAGGCAGCAGUGAGGAAUAUUGGUCAAUGGGCGAGAGCCUGGACCAGCCAAGUCGCGUGAGGGAAGACGGUCCUAUGGAUUGUAAACCUCUUUUGCCGGGGAGCAAAAAGCGGUACGUGUACCGCAUCGAGAGUACCCGGAGAAAAAGCAUCGGCUAACUCCGUGCCAGCAGCCGCGGUAAUACGGAGGAUGCGAGCGUUAUCCGGAUUUAUUGGGUUUAAAGGGUGCGCAGGCGGGGGGUUAGGUGAGGGGUAAAUUUGGGGGGCCCAACCCGGGCGAGCCGUUGAAACUGGCUUGCUAGAGUGGGCGAGAAGUAUGCGGAAUGCGUGGUGUAGCGGUGAAAUGCAUAGAUAUCACGCAGAACCCCGAUUGCGAAGGCAGCAUACCGGUGCACAACUGACGCUCAGGCACGAAAGCGUGGGUAUCGAACAGGAUUAGAUACCCCUGUAG
rnacentral:rRNA from 1 species